rnacentral:RNase_P_RNA from 1 species
GCAGUCUGCCGGUCUGUCGCUCAAUUAUUUAAUUGGGAGGAAAGUCCGGGCAACACAGGGCGCCAUACUUCCUAACGGGAAGCUAUCUGCGAAGGUAGAGUAGCGUAACAGAAAAGAACCGUUCCGCAUCCGUGCGGAAUAAGGGUGAAAAGGUGAGGUAAGAGCUCACCGGGUACCUUAGCGAUAGGGUAUGCCGUACGUCUUAUGGGUUGUAAGGUCAUGUAUAUCGGCGCAUGUAGGGCGGCUCGUCCGAUGCCGAGGGGUAGACCGCUAAAGCCUGCCGGCAACGGUAGGAUGAGAUAAAUGGCAGACACUUUUGUUGUAAAACAUAAGUACAGAACCCGGCUUACAGGCAGACUGCGUUU